GACGAACGCUGGCGGCGUGCUUAACACAUGCAAGUCGAACGGAAAGGCCCUGCUUGCCGGGUACUCGAGUGGCGAACGGGUGAGUAACACGUGGGUGAUCUGCCCUGCACUUCGGGAUAAGCCUGGGAAACUGGGUCUAAUACCGGAUAGGAGCCAUUUUUAGUGUGAUGGUUGGAAAGUUUUUUCGGUGUAGGAUGAGCUCGCGGCCUAUCAGCUUGUUGGUGGGGUAAUGGCCUACCAAGGCGGCGACGGGUAGCCGGCCUGAGAGGGUGGACGGCCACAUUGGGACUGAGAGACGGCCCAGACUCCUACGGGAGGCAGCAGUGGGGAAUAUUGCACAAUGGGCGCAAGCCUGAUGCAGCGACGCCGCGUGGGGGAUGACGGCCUUCGGGUUGUAAACUCCUUUCGCUAGGGACGAAGCUUUUGUGACGGUACCUAGAUAAGAAGCACCGGCUAACUACGUG
rnacentral:rRNA from 1 species